AGGACAGUAUAUCCCCCUGUGUGAUGAAGAUGGUUACUACAAGCCAACACAAUGCCAUGGCAGUGUUGGACAGUGCUGGUGUGUUGACAGAUAUGGAAAUGAAGUCAUGGGAUCCAGAAUAAAUGGUGUUGCAGAUUGUGCUAUAGAUUUUGAGAUCUCUGGAGAUUUUGCUAGUGGAGAUUUCCAUGAAUGGACUGAUGAUGAGGAUGAUGAAGAUGAUAUUAUGAAUGAUGAAGAUGAAAUUGAAGAUGAUGAUGAAGAUGAAGGGGAUGAUGAUGAUGGUGGUGAUGAUCAUGAUGGAUACAUUUGAUUGAUGACAGUUGAAAUCAAUAAAUUCUACAUUUCUAAUAUUUACAAAAAUGAUAGCCUAUUUAAAAUUAUCUUCUUCCCCAAUAACAAAAUGAUUCUAAACCUCACAUAUAUUUUGUAUAAUUAUUUGAAAAAUUGCAGCUAAAGUUAUAGAACUUUGUGUUUAAAUAAGAAUGAUUUGCUUUGAGUUUUUAUAUUCCUUACACAAGAAGAAAAUACAUAUGCAGUCUAGUCAGAGAAAAUAAAGUUUUGAAGUGCCCCUAUAAUAAAUUUUUCAUGAGAACAAACUUCGUAAAUCUUCCAUAAGCAAAAUGACAGCCAGUGCUUGGGAUCGUACAUGUUAAUUUUUUGAAAGAUAAUUCUAAGUGAAAUUUAAAAUGAAUAAAUUAUUAAUGACCUGGGUCCUGAGGAUUUAAGAAAAAUAUGCAUGCUUUAAUUGCAUUUCCAAAGUAGCAUCUUGCUAGACCUAGAUGAGUCAGGAUAACAGAGAGAUACCACAUGGCAAGAAAAACAAAGUGACAAUUGUAGAGUCCUCCAUUGUGUUUACAUUAAUAGUAAUGUUUUUAACUAUGAAGUUAUUCUGGAUCUCAUAGUACAUUUUACAAAAUGGCAAGUAUGGAAAACCAUGGAUUCUGAAAGUUAAAAAUUUAGUUGUUCUUUCCAAUGUGUAUUUUAAUUUGGAUGGCAGUCUCAUGCAGAUUUUUAAAAAUAUUCUUUAAUAACAUGAUUUAUUUGCCUUUCUAGAUUUCUUUAUCUUUCAGACCAGCAACUUAGGUUUCAGAGUUUAAAUUAGGAAGACAAAGGGAAAGAUUGAUUUAAACCGUAUUGUUACAAAGUUUGUCAUUUGCCCCAAGGUCAAAUUUUAAAUUCUUAAUUUUCAUUUUAUUUCCCAUUUUAGAUAAAAAUUUGCAUUUAAUCUUAUAAUUAUGUUAUUUUUGUUAGUAGUGCCGAAACCUAGAGAACGUAUUGUAUGGUGCCUUGCAAAAAUAGAAAUAGAAAGAUUUUAGCAUGCAUACCAAUAUAGUAUAUUACGCAAUAUAUAAGCACACCUAAUUAACAGAUUAAUAACAGUAAAGGUACUGCUGCUGGAAUGAAGAAAAUGGGAUAUGUUUCUUCCUUUUUUUCUAUUGUUACAUAAUUGCCAUGUGGACUUGUUUAUGAUUAUUGUGUAGAGUAGCAUUUAAGAUUUAACUGUAGCGAAAAUUACUUUAACCGCUGUGUUUAAGUUAGCAUGUUAAUUAAUUGUGUAGACAUUUUGGCACACCAUCACUUUUAACUAUAUCAGACCAAUGGUUUUGUGCCCAUAAUAAAAAUGGAAAAUCCUGUUGAAUGUUACAUAUUGGUAUCUUUAAUUUCAACAGUGGGUAAACUGGUUUCCCAGUAUACAAUUCAUUGAAAGCAAAAUUGAUGAAUUAUUUCAAUUUAAUUUAUACACACUCAAUACAAACUUUAAUGUUGACUUUAUGUAAUAUUUAAAGUAUAAUGCAUUUUCUUUUUUACUGUUUAUGUAUAGUUUACAAAAUAAAGAAUCUUAUAACCAAA